rnacentral:rRNA from 1 species
UGGGGGAAUUUUGGACAAUGGGGGAAACCCUGAUCCAGCCAUCCCGCGUGUGCGAUGAAGGCCUUCGGGUUGUAAAGCACUUUUGGCAGGAAAGAAACGUCGUGGGUUAAUACCCCGCGAAACUGACGGUACCUGCAGAAUAAGCACCGGCUAACUACGUGCCAGCAGCCGCGGUAAUACGUAGGGUGCAAGCGUUAAUCGGAAUUACUGGGCGUAAAGCGUGCGCAGGCGGUUCGGAAAGAAAGAUGUGAAAUCCCAGAGCUUAACUUUGGAACUGCAUUUUUAACUACCGGGCUAGAGUGUGUCAGAGGGAGGUGGAAUUCCGCGUGUAGCAGUGAAAUGCGUAGAUAUGCGGAGGAACACCGAUGGCGAAGGCAGCCUCCUGGGAUAACACUGACGCUCAUGCACGAAAGCGUGGGGAGCAAACAGGAUUAGAUACCCUGGUAGUCCACGCCCUAAACGAUGUCAACUAGCUGUUGGGGUCUUCGGACCUUGGUAGCGCAGCUAACGCGUGAAGUUGACGCCUGGGGAGUA